rnacentral:rRNA from 1 species
ACAGCAGUCGCCGCGGGAACACGAAGGGUGCAAGCGUUACUCGGAAUUACUGGGCGUAAAGCGUGCGUAGGUGGUGGUUUAAGUCCGUUGUGAAAGCCCUGGGCUCAACCUGGGAAUUGCAGUGGAUACUGGGUCACUAGAGUGUGGUAGAGGAUAGUGGAAUUUCCGGUGUAGCAGUGAAAUGCGUAGAGAUCGGAAGGAACAUCUGUGGCGAAGGCGACUAUCUGGGCCAACACUGACACUGAGGCACGAAAGCGUGGGGAGCAAACAGGAUUAGAUACCCCGGUAGUCCCUGUCUCUUAUAC